UCGGGACCACACCGGGACCGUCCGAGGGCGACACGGUCCGGACCGGGACACGCUGCGAGCAGCACCGGGGCCCACACGGGCCCCCGGGACUGCCCGGAACCACCGGCGAGAAGAACCGGGAGCAGGACCGGGAGCCAGCAGGACAGACCGAGACCCACCGGACACAGCAGAACCCACAGAAUCCCUGAAAAGAACUGCUGCACCUCACUUGCACCUGGGUGCUGGGCCCCAGCUCCUGAGGCAGCAUCAUCUCCCUGCUCACCUGUGACACAGCUGGGGAGUGAAAGAGCUGGGGCUGGGUGAUCCCAGCGACAAAAUAAAGCUAUGCCUGCUUUUAAUGUACGAAUUGGUGUUAAAAAGUGUGAAAAACGCUAAUCAUGUGUUUUUAAAAUUUCAAAAAGUUGAAUGAUAAUAAAAUGGUUAUAAAAAUAGCAAUAUAAUUAGAGUAAUAAUAAUUUGGACAAUUUGGAUUAGGACAAUAAGAGACAAUAGAAGCAAAGAGUUAUGCACGUCCGGGUACCUUUUUCUGGGCAAAAUAAGCCUGAUAAAGGACACACGUUAACAACGGAUUAACCCUUAAAAAACAAUAACCUGUUGCAUAUUCACACACCUCAUACAUGAUGCAUAAAUUCCAUUCAAACACAGGAUUCUGUCUGGUCAGUGUCAGCUUCUUCCUUUGAAUCCUGACGGCUUCUUCCCGAGUGAGGCGGGAAGAAGUUCGUUUCUUCUGAUAAGAGAGCAAUAAAUUCUCUUUCUCUGAAA